rnacentral:rRNA from 1 species
UGGGGAAUAUUGCACAAUGGGGGAAACCCUGAUGCAGCGACGCCGCGUGAGCGAUGAAGGCUUUCGAGUCGUAAAGCUCUGUCCUAUGGGAAGAUAAUGACGGUACCAUAGAAGAAAGCCCCGGCUAAUUACGUGCCAGCAGCCGCGGUAAUACGUAAGGGGCGAGCGUUGUCCGGAAUUAGUGGGCGUAAAGAGUGCGUAGGCGGCAAAUUAAGUCAGAUGUUAAAACUAAGGGCUCAACCCAUAGAUUGCAUCUGAAACUGAUAUGCUUGAGGCAAGGAGAGGAAAGUGGAAUUCCUAGUGUAGCGGUGGAAUGGGUAGAUAUUAGGAGGUAUACCGGUGGCGAAGGCGACUUUCUGGACUUGGACUGACGCUGAGGCACGAAAGCGUGGGGAGCAAACAGG